rnacentral:rRNA from 1 species
CCUUAACCUGCUAAAUAGUUAUGCCAACUCUUGUUGGUAGUCAACUUCUUAGAGGGACUGUCGGCGAUUAGCCGACGGAAGUUUUAGGCAAUAACAGGUCUGUUAUGCCCUUAGAUGUCCUGGGCCGCACGCGCGCUACACUGAUGAAGUCAACGAGUUUAUAACCUUGGCCGGAAGGUCUGGGUAAUCUUUUGAAACUUCAUCGUGCUGGGGAUAGAGCAUUGCAAUUAUUGCUCUUCAACGAGGAAUUCCUAGUAAGCGUGAGUCAUCAGCUCGCGCUGAUUACGUCCCUGCCCUUUGUACACACCGCCCGUCGCUACUACCGAUUGAAUGGCUUAGUGAGUCCCUCGGAUCGGAGCUGCGCAGCUGGCAACAGCAGCUAAGCGCUGAGAAGUUGGGCAAACUUGGUCAUUUAGAGGAAGUAAAAGUCG